GGCUUUCAUGACGCGGGUCGCGGUGGAGACGCUGGCGGUGUCGUCCUCCCGGUCAGAAUGCAUGAGGAAGAACACCAGGGCAAUGAAGGAGAAGGUGAGCAGGAUGCCCGCCCCGAUGGUGGCUCCAGCGAUGAUGCCCACAGGCAGCACCUCUUCAGAUGAGAAAGGAAAGGAGAUCACUUGCCAUUUCUCCAGCUGAAGUCAUUUGCCGCCACCGUGUAAGCUCCUCCACUAACGUGCCUGAGGGCAGGGACCACGUGCACAUGGGUCCCUGCAGCCCCGAGCACGGGGCCUGGCAUAUAACAGAUGCACAGCCAACGUUUCAACAGGACACAGGCUCCGUGAAGAAGGAAUAGUCAACAUUCGUCUCAUAGCGACUCUCAUGGGCAUCUUCAAUGGAGAAGCCGCCCUUGG